UAACAUUUCCGUGUUUUGACAUUUCGUUUCAUUAUCAAAUAAUUGACAAUUUAUCGCCCUUUGUAUCAACACGCCAUUUGUAAACAUGAAAGGUCGUGUGAAAGGAAACUUUUAAACAGUAAUUUGACGAUUGAUUUAAAAGGGAUAAUGAAUGUCAUUGAGCGAUUUACAGAUCAACUAUUGAUGAACUACUGAGAAACAUCUGGCAUAUUGCUAUGACCUUAAACAAAAAAAAGGAAUUCUCAAGGCAUGCCUACAUACCACAUGUUGGAAGUGUUUGUGGAAUGGCUGAAGGAAGAAAGAAUUUCCAGCCAGAAAAAUAAAAUUCUUUAUGAAUUUGUGAAUGGAAAUGAAACCCAAGGAACUAAUAUAUUUGCUUACCAUCCAGUUAAAAGUAUGCCAAUGAAAUAAAGUGCAACUGUCACAGAAGUGCACAAAAUAAGGUCAUGUUUUCUGCAAAAGUUCAAGCUGAUUCAGACUACAAAUGGGAGUCAAGAAAAAAGUAAAACUAACUGAACUGUCACAGUUCAACUGUGAGAAAUGUUUGGUAAAAGUAUGUUUUGUUGUCAGAACAGCAGUGAAGUGGUUAGAGUAAAACUGUCUUUAUUGUUUAAGUAAUACAGAAUUUUUUUUGAAACAUACUCCAUGCAUAAUAUGUCUUGAGUGCUCUUUUUUAUUUAAAUAAUCAUACAGUUUCAAGAAAUUUGACAAUAAAUGCUAUCUUUUAUUUUUUAAGAAAACAUUGCAUUGUCGCCAUGGUAUUAAACAUUAAUCUGUCUAUAAAUUAUUGUAAAACAUCUUUCAUGUUUAUAUGUUCUGUUUGUUAAAAAAUUAAUGUAAGGUCAUAUUCUUUUCUAAGUAAUAACUGCAUCAACAAAACAUUAUGUUAUCAUAUGAAUCUGCCUUAAACUAGCAAGAGUUGUGUCGUGUGUAUCAGAAAAUAAUGUAUAUCCCAAACAGUGUCACAUCAGUUUACAUGAAAUGAGGUUUUCUUACUUUUGAAUAUGAAAUAUGAAAUUAGACAGCUUUCAAUGUAAAUAGUAUUUUGAAAAACACUUUAACAUAUUCAAUUAUUUCAAGAACUUGAUAGAAAUGGUACUUUUGGUAAGAAAAUUCAUCAUGGUUGCUAUGGUAACGAGUCACUGAUCAGUGUGACAUCUGUACUACUACUUUUAAGCAAAAUCAGUUUAUAAUAUUUCUAAUAAUUAUAUCUUUUUGCCUGAUUUUCUGUCUAACAGUUACAAAGAAAUAUGUCAAUGAGUCAAGUGUUCUAACAACAAGGUUAAUUUGUCAUAGCUUUGUCAUGUUAUCUAACCCGUAAUCCAGUAAAUCUAUUUUUGUACAAAAGAAAGCCAUAUUAAGAUUUUUGCAAAAAAACUGUUAUCUUUAAACUCUGUCUGUACACUGGAAAAUGUUGACGGUAUAUUAACUUCACUUUCUUGAUGUAAAUUUUGGCUGGAUUUAUCAAGGAACUAUUCAAAUUGGAUUUAACAACUGUGUUGCCAUGGAAACGGUUUUAAGGGGAAAAUAAUAUGUGCUUAUAUGAAAAAAAAAGAAACAGAAAGAAAUAGAUUUAACUAACUGUAUGUUGUGUUUGAUAUUUCAUUAUGUAUUUUUUUUUCAUAUUAUUUUAAGAAGGAGUCUGAAUUAAGAUAUUCUGCCUCUAUUUUGAUACAGUUAGACGAAAAUAUGGUGUCCGAAAAGCGGUAAUUUCUCAAUAACAACGGCUGAUUUCUGUUGUCAAAUAGCAGAUUUUUACUUGGAACAUGACAAUCUGUCAGAUUACCUGAAAACCCCAUUUUUGACCAAAAUCUCAUUUGGGCCAAAAAUCUCAU
rnacentral:lncRNA from 1 species